GGUUCGAUUAUGGCUCAGAUUGAACGCUGGCGGAUGUUUACACAUGCAAGUCGAACGGCAGCACGGACUUCGGUCUGGUGGCGAGUGGCGAACGGGUGAGUAAUGUAUCGGAACGUGUCUAGUAGCGGGGAUAACUACGCGAAAGCGUAGCCAAUACCGCAUACGCCCUUCGGGGGAAAGCGGGGGGACCUUCGGGCCUCGCACUAUUAGAGCGGCCGAUAUCGGAUUAGCUAGUUGGUGGGGUAACGGCUCACCAAGGCGACGAUCCGUAGCUGGUUUGAGAGGACGACCAGCCACACUGGGACUGAGACACGGCCCAGACUCCUACGGAGGCAGCAGUGGGGAAUUUUGGACAAUGGGGGAAACCCUGAUCCAGCCAUCCCGCGUGUGCGAUGAAGGCCUUCGGGUUGUAAAGCACUUUUGGCAGGAAGAAACGGCACGGAUAAUACCCGUGCAACUGACGGUACCUGCAGAAUAAGCACCGGCUAACUACGUGCCAGCAGCCGUGGUAAUACGUAGGGUGCAAGCGUUAAUCGGAAUUACUGGGCGUAAAGCGUAUGGCAGGCGGUUCGGAAAGAAAGAUGUGAAAUCCCAGAGCUUAACUUUGGAACUGCAUUUUUAACUACCGAGCUAGAGUGUGUCAGAGGGGAGGUGGAAUUCCGCGUGUAGCAGUGAAAUGCGUAGAUAUGCGGAGGAACACCGAUGGCGAAGGCAGCCUCCUGGGAUAACACUGACGCUCAUGCACGAAAGCGUGGGGAGCAAACAGGAUUAGAUACCCUGGUAGUCCACGCCCUAAACGAUGUCAACUAGCUGUUGGGGCCUUCGGGCCUUGGUAGCGCAGCUAACGCGUGAAGUUGACCGCCUGGGAGUACGGUCGCAAGAUUAAAACUCAAAGGAAUUGGACGGGGACCCCGCACAAGCGGUGGAUGAUGUGGAUUAAUUGAUGCAACGCGAAAAACCUUACCUACCCUUGACAUGUCUGGAAUCCCGAAGAGAUUUGGGAGUGCUCGCAAGAGAACCGGAACACAGGUGCUGCGUAUGGCUGUCGUCAGCUCGUGUCGUGAGAUGUUGGGUUAAGUCCCGCAACGAGCGCAACCCUUGUCAUUAGUUGCUACGAAAGGGCACUCUAAUGAGACUGCCGGUGACAAACCGGAGGAAGGUGGGGAUGACGUCAAGUCCUCAUGGCCCUUAUGGGUAGGGCUUCACACGUCAUACAAUGGUCGGGACAGGUCGCCAACCCGCGAGGGGGAGCCAAUCCCAGAAACCCGAUCGUAGUCCGGAUCGCAGUCUGCAACUCGACUGCGUGAAGUCGGAAUCGCUAGUAAUCGCGGAUCAGCAUGUCGCGGUGAAUACGUUCCCGGGUCUUGUACACACCGCCCGUCACACCAUGGAGUGGGUUUUACCAGAAGUAGUUAGCCUAACCGUAAGGAGGGCGAUUACCACGGUAGGAUUCAUGACUGGGGUGAAGUCGUAACAAGGUAA
rnacentral:rRNA from 1 species